ACAUAAAUGCUAAGAGGGCAUGGCAGCUUGCCAGUAACUCCAGUCUCAGAAGGCAAAGACAGGGGAUCCACAGAUAAGACGGCCAGUGAGACUAGCUGUAUCAGUGAGCUCUGGGUUUGACAUAACGACCCUGGCUUAAAAAUCAGUAAGGUAGAGGGUGAUCAAGGAAGAUUCCUGGCAUCACCUCAGGAUAUGGACAUAGCAUAUGCUCUCUACAUACACAUAUAAAGAAGAAAAAUUAUACUGUAAUAUGAAUAUGAAUAGACCAUAUAUUAUUUGUCUACUAAUAUUCUGUUUUGUUUUUUAAACAAAGUCAACAAUGUUUAAUGUUCCCUCCACAUCUUAAUCUGAUAUGAUGUGAUGUGUGUAUGUGUGUGUGUGUGUAAAUCUUCCUAAACUUUAUUUUUUUUUCUGACAAUGAAUUAUUUGAUUAUUUCCCCAAUAUUUCUCUUGAAACUGGGCUAAAGAACAUUCAAGUUAUAUUCUGGAAAAGGGUUGGCUGCAUUUACUCUGUGUCCUGAAAACCUGAGUAAGGCUGAAUUUAAAGCUAAAGAACUAAUGUAUUCGGGCAAGGAUAUUUUAAGGCACAGACAGCACUCAGUCUGUGGUAUGCUUUCUGCUCCCUCAUCUUCCCCCAAAUCCACAGUGACAAGAGAAAUAACUACAUCACCUCAUCUCCAAUUCUAGGCACUGCAACAUUCCCAGGAGAGAUGCAGUCCAUGUGGAGAUGCAAUGAACUUGUGCUGCAGAGCUGCUGGGAUGGAAUACUCAACAUUUGGAUUUUGGGUUUUGAAGAUUAUUCAUUUCCUUACAGUUCUGUAAUUUUUAUUCACCAAUGAAGAAAAACAAAAUGAUGACAUUUGCAGGCA
rnacentral:lncRNA from 1 species